CCCUGGUUAGCUCAGUUAAUAGAGCGCUCCACUUGUAAUGGAGAGGUCCCGGGUUCGAUACCCGGACCAGGCG
rnacentral:tRNA from 1 species